ACGGUGCUUCUUCUUCGGAAGAUGUAACCCGGCGGACGGCUCAGUAACACGUGGAUAACUUGCCCUUGGGUCCGGGAUAACCCCUGAGAAAUUGGGGACAAUACCGGAUAGGGCAUCGAUUGCUGGAAUGCGCGAUGUCCAAAAGCUGAGGCGCCCAAGGAUAGGUCUGCGGCCGAUUAGGUUGUUGUUGAUGUAAUGGAUCAACAAGCCUGCAAUCGGUACGGGUUGUGAGAGCAAGAGCCCGGAGAUGGGUUCUGAGAAAAGAACCCAGGUCCUACGGGACGCAUCAGGCGCGAAAACUUUACAAUGUGCGAAAGCACGAUAAGGGAACUCUGAGUGCCUCCUAUGGAGGCUGUUCAGGUGUCUAAAAAGCACUUGAAGUAAGGGCUGGGUAAGACCGGUGCCAGCCGCCGCGGUAACACCGGCAGCCCAAGUGGUAGCCACGAUUAUUGGGUCUAAAGCGUCCGUAGCCGGCCAGGUAAGUUCUUUGGGAAAUUUAACCGCUCAACGGUUAAGCUUUCAGGGAAUACUGCUUGGCUUGGGACCGGGAGAGGUCAGAGGUACUUCAAGGGUAGGGGUGAAAUCCGUUAAUCCUUGAGGGACCACCAGUAGCGAAG
rnacentral:rRNA from 1 species